rnacentral:tRNA from 1 species
GCCCGGAUAGCUCAGUCGGUAGAGCAGAGGAUUGAAAAAUCCUCGUGUCGGUGGUUCGAUUCCGCCUCCGGGCA